rnacentral:rRNA from 1 species
UACAGAGGGGGCAAGCGUUGUUCGGAAUUACUGGGCGUAAAGGGCGCGUAGGCGGCCUGUUAAGUCGGACGUGAAAUCCCUCGGCUCAACCGGGGAACUGCGUCCGAUACUGGCGGGCUUGAAUUCGGGAGAGGGAUGUGGAAUUCCAGGUGUAGCGGUGAAAUGCGUAGAUAUCUGGAGGAAUACCGGUGGCGAAGGCGGCAUCCUGGACCGGCAUUGACGCUGAGGAGCGAAAGCUAGGGGAGCAAACGGG